UCCCCUCUUUCUCUCUCUCCCCCUCCUCUCUUCCUCUAUGGAUGCCUAUACAUAAGUGGUUAGGUAGGAAGAACUGUAGCUUCUUCCUCUGAAUAUUUAGGUGUCAGAAAAAAAGCAGGAACAUUUUGUAAGAAGUAUGAAUGGGGGUGAAAUGCUCUGAAGUCUGCUAUCGGUUAGCUUUGUGCAUGCAUGUGCAGUGUGUGCCAAACAUGCGCUUCGCAUGCAUGCAUACCACAGGCACUACCACACAGUGCUGAAAAAGGAGGAUAAAGAAGCCUUUUCUGAGACUUCAAAGGAUACACACAGGUUCAAUCAGGAUCUGAUUGAAACAGGUGUUGAAGCUUGCCAUUCAUCUUGAAGUUCCACAGCCUCCAUACUUUGAAGCAGUCCCCCAUUCCAAUAUUAACCAUGGAUGAUCCUGCUUCACUUCCAGAAAGACCAACUAUAUGCGGCCUAAGCUACUGUAUAUCACUGGAUAAAAAAGAUUUUGCCUCCUGAAUACUUUGGCAACCUUUGUAUUUUUUUUAACAACACAACAAACAACAACAACAUGGCAGUGGUGAUGAUGGUGAUGAUGAUAAAAAAGGAAGAUGUCAGUAAAAUUUAUCUGUAAUUGCUUUUUAGACAAUUUAUUACAUGACUACUAACCAACAGCACUGAUCACAUGUACAAGGGAUAGACUGCAAAACCAUGCUUGGAGGAAAUAAAUUUCAGAGAAAGAAGAUAGGCCGAAAGUAACUACAUCAAAUUUAACCAAAGUCAAUAGGUGAGGUGGUGAAGACCAUGGGCAUAGUGUGUGUGCUUACCUUGAUCUCAGCCAAGCAUUCAACAAGUUUCUAAUACCUUUAUCAAUAAAAUGAUAAAACAA